UGCCUCAGUAACGGCGAGUGAAGCGGCAACAGCUCAAAUUUGAAAUCUGGCUCCUUCGGAGUCCGAGUUGUAAUUUGUAGAAGAUGCUUCGGGCGUGGCUCCGGUCUAAGUUCCUUGGAACAGGACGUCAUAGAGGGUGAGAAUCCCGUAUGUGACUGGGUGCCUAUGCCCGUGUGAAGCUCUUUCGACGAGUCGAGUUGUUUGGGAAUGCAGCUCUAAAUGGGUGGUAAAUUUCAUCUAAAGCUAAAUAUUGGCCAGAGACCGAUAGCGCACAAGUAGAGUGAUCGAAAGAUGAAAAGCACUUUGGAAAGAGAGUUAAAUAGUACGUGAAAUUGUUGAAAGGGAAGCUCUUGCAACCAGACUUGCGCGUCGCUGAUCAUCCGGUGUUCUCACCGGUGCGCUCAGCGGCGCUCAGGCCAGCAUCAGUUUCGGUGGUUGGAUAAAGGCCCUGGGAAUGUGGCUCUCUUCGGGGAGUGUUAUAGCCCAGGGUGCAAUGCAGCCUACCGGGACUGAGGACCGCGCUUCGGCUAGGAUGCUGGCGUAAUGGUUGCAAGCGACCCGUCUUGAAACACGGACCAAGGAGUCUAACAUCUAUGCGAGUGUUUGGGUGUCAAACCCAUGCGCGUAAUGAAAGUGAACGGAGGUGAGAGCCCUUCAGGGUGCAUCAUCGACCGAUCCUGAUGUCUUCGGAUGGAUUUGAGUAAGAGCAUACAUGCUGGGACCCGAAAGUUAGUGAACUAUACUUGAAUAGGGUGAAGCCAGAGGAAACUCUGGUGGAGGCUCGCAGCGGUUCUGACGUGCAAAUCGAUCGUCAAAUUUGGGUAUAGGGGCGAAAGACUAAUCGAACUAACUAGUAGCUGGUUCCUGCCGAAGUUUCCCUCAGGAUAGCAGUGUUGAAUUCAGUUUUAUGAGGUAAAGCGAAUGAUUAGAGGCCUUGGGGAAGAAACUUCCUUAACCUAUUCUCAAACUUUAAAUAUGUAAGAAGUCCUUGUUACUUAAUUGAACGUGGACAUUCGAAUGUACCAACACUAGUGGGCCAUUUUUGGUAAGCAGAACUGGCGAUGCGGGAUGAACCGAACGCGAAGUUAAGGUGCCGGAAUACACGCUCAUCAGAUCCCACAAAAGGUGUUAAUUCAUCCUGACAGCCGGACGGUGGUCAUGGAAGUCGAAACCCGCUAAGGAGUGUGUAACAACUCACCGGCCGAAUGAAUUAGCCCUGAAAAUGGAUGGCGCUUAAGCGUGUUACCCAUACUUCGCCGCCAGCGUAGAAACGAUGCGCUGGCGAGUAGGCAGGCGUGGAGGUCAGUGACGAAGC
rnacentral:rRNA from 1 species